GGGAAGCUUAUACUAGGAGGACUCUCACUCUGUUUUUUUUCUCCUUUUUGCCCAGUAAAUCCCAUUAUUCUCACCCUUCAAAUUGUCUGCAAGCCUACUUCUGUGGCCAAAUGACAAGGACCCUGCCUUUAGCUGAAUUAAGGACAAGUCCCGCAAUGUGAUUAUAAUAGUCCCAGACCUACUGAGAUACAAAAGAACUAAGUGGUUUCCUGCCAGGGAGAAAAUUACCACGGAAAAGUGUGAAGACACAGCAUUUGUCCCCUCUGGAGAUGCAGUAGCAAGGUGCCAAAUUGGAAGAAGAGAUAGACAGCCCUCGUCAGGCAAUGAACAUGCUGGCCUCUUCAUUGCGGAAUUCCCAGCCUCCAG
rnacentral:lncRNA from 10 species